UUUGUACUCCCUCCGUUCCGAAUUACUUGUCUUGAAUUUGUCUAGAAACAGAUGUAUCUAGCACUAAAAUGAGUCUAGAUACAUCCGUAUCUAGACAAAUUCAAGACAAGUAAUUCGGAACGGAGGAAGUACAAU
rnacentral:pre_miRNA from 1 species